CCUACGGGAGGCAGCAGUGGGGGAUAUUGCACAAUGGGGGAAACCCUGAUGCAGCGACGCCGCGUGGGUGAAGAAGCGCCUCGGCGCGUAAAGCCCUGUCAGCAGGGAAGAAAAUGACGGUACCUGAAGAAGAAGCCCCGGCUAACUACGUGCCAGCAGCCGCGGUAAUACGUAGGGGGCAAGCGUUAUCCGGAUUUACUGGGUGUAAAGGGGGCGCAGACGGCGAUGCAAGCCAGGAGUGAAAGCCCGGGGCCCAACCCCGGGACUGCUCUUGGAACUGCGUGGCUAGAGUGCAGGAGGGGCAGGCGGAAUUCCUGGUGUAGCGGUGAAAUGCGUAGAUAUCAGGAGGAACACCGGUGGCGAAGGCGGCCUGCUGGACUGCAACUGACGUUGAGGCCCGAAAGCGUGGGGAGCAAACAGGAUUAGAUACCCCUGGUC
rnacentral:rRNA from 1 species